CUGAGUGGAAGCUGAGGACGUGGUGAGAGGUGGUCAGAUUCCCCUCUGGAGAUUCUCUAGGAGGCCAAAAUAAUAACAGAAAUAUGACUUCACGCAACUCUUCACCUACAUCCGUCUUCUCAAAGAGGAGAACCAUUAUCAUCAAGUAGUGUCUUGGUCCGUUUUCUGGUUCUAUAACAGAAUACCAGAGAUCAGAUGUCCAUUACUGUAUACAAUGUGGUGAAUGAUCAGCCAGUUGGGGAAUCGCAGCAGAUAUACUACAAAAUACGUG